GGUUAAGCGACUAAGCGUACACGGUGGAUGCCCUGGCAGUCAGAGGCGAUGAAGGACGUGCUAAUCUGCGAUAAGCGCCGGUAAGGUGAUAUGAACCGUUAUAACCGGCGAUUUCCGAAUGGGGAAACCCAGUGUGACUCGUCACACUAUCAUUAACUGAAUCCAUAGGUUAAUGAGGCGAACCGGGGGAACUGAAACAUCUAAG
rnacentral:rRNA from 1 species